GAAUCAAAUACAACAAUCAAACAACAUAAUGAUUUCCACAAAGAAAAUUUAAAAAAUAUAUUGAUGUUAUGUAGUCUUAUUUUAUAUUCUUUAAAUAAUAUAAUACAAUAUUAUACUUUAUUUUUUUAGAAUUUAGAAAUACAUAUAAUAUAUUUUCCGCGCGUAGCGUGGUUAAAAAAUCUAAUUUAUUUAUAAGUUUGCCAUUAUGGCUAAGGUGUAGUCAUUCUCAAGUUCUAUUCUUAAUAAUCCUUUAUUUACUAGAUAGAUUACACAAUAUAUGUCAUUGGUACGUACUCGUCACGUAACAUAAUUAGCUUGAAAAAAAGAUUAUACAUAUAUUUUUUUUUUCUUUAAUCGAUCAUACCAAUUUAAUAAGAUGAAUUUUUUUCAUUUGUGAGAUUAGGUCGCCGAUGUCGGAUGUCGGAUUUAGAGCAAGGUUAAUGAGAAGGGGAGGUCAUUGAGGUUAAAGAGACGAGCGAGGUAGAGUCCUGACAUGCCGUUGUGGUGGCGGAGGAAUGAAGAGACGACGGAGAAGAAGUGGAACAAGUCAGGGAGGCGAGGUCAUGCGGAAGAUGACCUGCGAGGAGUGGGAGCUUCGAAGAUUACUAUGGCGGAUUCGUUCGGUGCUGUCGUUUUGGGUGGUAUCUUUGAUUUAUUGCACGCUGGGCAUCAGACUUCAAGAAAUCAGGUGGUGGAGCUAACCAUGGAUCGAAUAGUAGUGGGAGUAUGUGAUGGCCCGAUGCUGAUGAACAAAGAAGUAAGCCAUCUAUCACUCUCGAAUCUAUUAUCAUCUUUCCCUUUUCGCCUAGAUUAGUUUAGCAUCCUACACCGUUUGAUAUAAGCAAGACAUUUGAGAACGAGGAAUCUAGAAAAUUAUAUGAGAUUGAAGUCUCUCUUAUGGCCAAAAAUGGAUUGUAUUUCGAGUUUUUAUCUUUGUACUAAAUGUUUCUGUGGUUUAAAGCUGAAACUGUUACGCUUUGUUGAUGAGCUCAAAAAUUUCAAGGUCUCAAAGGAAUUAAAGAGUUCAAUUCCACUGGACCAAAGGACUUCCACAAUUACUUAUUAGUUAGGAUACACAAUUAUAUAAUAUACUAGGGGUUGGCCGGCGCUACGCGCCGAAUUUUCUAUUAUUGUUAUUAUUUUAAAUUAUUUAAUAGAAUAAUUUGUGUUAAUAAUUAUAUUUGUUUUUUAUUCUUUUGUUAUUUUUUUGAUAUUGUUUUAUUAUAUUGAUAGCAUAUAUGAUGUUUUUAACUUUUAUAUUUUGGAAAUUGUUCAAUAAUUAAAUAAUUUAGUUUAGAAAGUAUAGUAGCCAAAUUGGUCAGUUAUUAUAUAAGAUCAUUUGAUAAAUUCACACAGUUACUUCGCAUAUAUCCAGCCAUGUUCCUUGUCUAAAGACCGAUAAAAUCUAAGCUGCAAUCUAACUUGGAGUAAAAUAAACAUAAUAAAAAUAAAAAGAGAUGAAUGGUAUUUAUUUUUUGGUUUUCAAAAUUUGUGGUCACCUGGACUUGUUUUGGUGCAACCUUGAUUGUUGGAAAAUUUGUAACAAAUAUUACAUGCCCGACAGUGGUCAUUGUCUUAAAGAUUGAGGUUUUGAAUUUUCCUAUUGGCUACCUUACAGAAAAGAAAAGAAAAGGAAUCACGACAAAUCAAGCAUCAUAUUACAAUUAUGCAAGUAAAUUUCAUGCUCAACAAAAUCAGGUAAUCAACACAAUCAAAUAAUUUAAUCACAGCAUACUCGUCGCACCAAAAAAAGUGAAAGAGAAGCUAGUAUUUCACAUGAAUAUCUCGCAUGAAGACUAAACAACCAACACACGUUUUGUGUUAAUUGUUUCUCCUCUAUUGGAAUAAUCAUUAAUU